rnacentral:rRNA from 1 species
UACGUAGGGGGGCGAGCGUUGUCCGGAGUUACUGGGCGUAAAGCGCACGCAGGCGGUCUGCUAAGUUUGGAGUGACAGUUGGUGGCUUAACUGCCAAAGUGCUUCGAAAAACUGACAGACUUGAGGGCUUCAGAGGGACACGGAAUUCCGGGUGGAGUGGUGAAAUGCGUAGAGAUCCGGAGGAACACCAAAGGCGAAGGCAGGCUACUACGACUUGAUUGACACUGAGGCACGAAAGCGUGGGGAGCAAACAGG